UCCUUAAUUGGUCGUUAAUAUAUUGAGGUAAUAUUUUGUAUCUCUCUUCUAUCUCUCAAUGUUUGGGUCUUUGAUAUAUGUGUAGGGUUUAAACGAUUAGGUCUUGGAUUUUUGUUGAGGGUUUAAACAAUUUUGGGUCUUGAAUUAAACACAUUGUCAUACCGAUCUUUGUUCACGUCGAUUUUGUCGAACAUAAGUACCUAACGUAGCUCCCCUGUUUCCAACUCUUAUUUAUCCUAAACCCCUAAAAAAUACAACAAUAGUUGUUCUGAUUAAUUCGCAAAGAUAAUAUAAUUCUCUCCCUUUUUCUGAUAUAAAGACAACAUCAUGCUAAUUACGGCAAAAGAGUACAACAAAGUUUAACCAACAGGUUCCACACAACAUCCAGAGCAAGCUAAGCAAAGAGUUUGCAGAACCUUGUGGUUUAUUACUUAAAAAUGUGGAUUUAGAUAAUCUUAAUUAAUUAAAAAUGGUACUUUACUUUAAGAUAGUACUUUACGAUGAGAUGCAUGUUGAAGACGAGGGCUUUGGUUUAGUUAGCAUUAUAAAAAGAAUUGGUUCGAUUCGGUGUGAUUCUAGUGCAUUCAAAACGUUUAGUUUGAAUUAUGUUUUUGAAGUUUUUACCCUCUAUGCUUGUCGGGGCCAUGGUUGUAUAUAUUGAAAGUUGAUUUGGGCUGAAAUUUCACUAUAAUAAUUUAUAAGUGUUUGUCCCUUGUCAAGGGUGAGCAAUGGAAGAACAUUUUGAUUUAGAUUAUUUUGAAGUAGAAGAUUUUCAGACUCCAAAUAACGAUGUGGAAGUGUUAGAAUCGCCGUCAACCUUAGACGCGGAAGCACAAUCGUCUGAUACUGACCAAGAGAUGACGUAAUGAGAAUAUGGGCAAAACAUCUUGAUGCCAAAAGAUUGCUUUGAAUGAUCACAGAGUCUUUUUGGAUGUUUGCUCAUCGAGUUUAUGUAACUUUUUUUAAUUUAAUGAUGGAAAACUCGAUUUUUGGGAACUUUUGGAUGUUAUUUUUGUGAGUAGUUCUUUUCAAGUCAUGGAAUUAUGUACUAUGUUGUUGAAUCAUGAGUUUUUUUCGGGCAUAUUUGAAUUGGAGGUUACCUUUAGAGAAUGGUUUGGUUCUACCAGUUUCUUACUUGCAUCACUACCCAUUUGGCCCCUGCAUGUAAUAACUGUCAUCACCGCAACCUUGCCAGCAGCUUGGUCUUUAUGUGCAAGGAAUAGAUAAAACAGAAAGCACAAUUAUGUACCAGUAAACAAGCUUUCAUGCAUGUCUUUGCAACGUGUUUAUAUUACUCACAAAAUUGUAAGAACAACAGCCAUUACGAAUUUGGCUGACA